rnacentral:rRNA from 1 species
CCUACGGGUGGCAGCAGUGAGGAAUAUUGGUCAAUGGGCGGGAGCCUGAACCAGCCAAGCCGCGUGAGGGAAGAAGGUACAGCGGAUCGUAAACCUCUUUUGUCAGGGAACAAAGGCGGGGACUAGUCCCCGGUUGAGGGUACCUGAUGAAUAAGCAUCGGCUAACUCCGUGCCAGCAGCCGCGGUAAUACGGAGGAUGCGAGCGUUAUCCGGAUUUAUUGGGUUAAAAGGGUGCGCAGGCGGGCUGUUAAGUCAGCGGUAAAAGCCCGGGGCUCAACCCCGGCGCGCCGUUGAAACUGGCGGGCUGGAGUUGGGGAGAGGUAGGCGGAAUGCGCGGUGUAGCGGUGAAAUGCUUAGAUAUCACGCAGAACCCCGAUUGCGAAGGCAGCGUACCGGAUCGAGACUGACGCUGAGGCACGAAAGCGUGGGUAUCGAACAGGAUUAGAUACCCUUGUAGUC